rnacentral:rRNA from 1 species
AUGCAGCUCACUUCAUCCCGUAUCGGGUGGUUUUUUUGUUCAAACUGCAGCUCACUUCGUCACAGCGUCUGGCAACAGCGUGAGGGUGCGGGCGCCCCUUCCCUGCAGUUCGGCGAUUCCACCUCCACAAAUGAGGUCGUCAAAGUUGAAGAGCGGCCAGUGUGGUGCCCCUUUCCAGUUUCCAGCAAGCACAUCAUGCAGUGCUGUCGAGUGUGGCGAGCGGUGCAGCUAGACCUAGUGUGCAGUCUACGGCCCUCACGUGCAGCUCUCUCCUGUGCUUGUUCGCGCGCGGAGGUAGAAAAGUGCACUGCAGUAGGGUGGCCGACGACAUACUUAUCUUUUUUAGUAGUUCAUCUUUGCAGUAUGUUCUAA